UACAGGGGGGGCAAGCGUUGUUCGGAAUUACUGGGCGUAAAGGGUUCGUAGGUGGCCAACUAAGUCAGACGUGAAAUCCCUCAGCUUAACUGGGGAACUGCGUCUGAUACUGGAUGGCUUGAGUGCAGGAGAGGAAUGCGGAAUUCCAGGUGUAGCGGUGAAAUGCGUAGAUAUCUGGAGGAACACCGGUGGCGAAGGCGGCAUUCUGGACUGUAACUGACACUGAUGAACGAAAGCCAGGGGAGCAAACGGG
rnacentral:rRNA from 1 species